rnacentral:lncRNA from 1 species
CUUCGGGCCUAGUGGUGCAUUUCACUGAAGUCAGUAAUUGCCCACUGGGAACUAUUAUUUAAUAGUUCUCACGCCCCUGUUUCUAUGUUUCCUUUUCAGAGCCUUCGGCACCGGCGGAGGCACGGGAUCGCGGCAAGGGUGUCGCGUAGCUAGCUCGCGGAGAGUUCUUUUGCGCUAGGUGGUUACUCCUCCAUUUUAUAUUUUGAGAGAGGGAGAGGUUUUGUACCAUGUAUAGAGAGACCACCUUGUACUCCUUUUAGCACUUGUUAUGGGAUCCCUAUUGUACUUACUUUAUGUUUUUACUUAGUGGACUUUCAGCUUUGUGUCCUUUCCUUGUUAUAGAACUAGUUAUACAAUGCUCUGAUAUCACUAGAUCUCUUGUAUUACUGUUUUACCUAUCGAAAUUUUGUAGACGCCUUAUAUGUUUUAGACGUAUGGCGGGUCUGGACACGCGCCGGGUAGGCUUCCGCUGAGCCCCGGGGCGUGACAUAUAAUAUAUGCCUGAUGUCAUCAUGCAUUUAC